UGGGGAAUUUUGGACAAUGGGCGAAAGCCUGAUCCAGCAAUGCCGCGUGUGUGAAGAAGGCCUUCGGGUUGUAAAGCACUUUUGUCCGGAAAGAAAUCCUUGGCUCUAAUACAGUCGGGGGAUGACGGUACCGGAAGAAUAAGCACCGGCUAACUACGUGCCAGCAGCCGCGGUAAUACGUAGGGUGCAAGCGUUAAUCGGAAUUACUGGGCGUAAAGCGUGCGCAGGCGGUUUGCUAAGACCGAUGUGAAAUCCCCGGGCUCAACCUGGGAACUGCAUUGGUGACUGGCAGGCUAGAGUAUGGCAGAGGGGGGUGGAAUUCCACGUGUAGCAGUGAAAUGCGUAGAGAUGUGGAGGAAUACCGAUGGCGAAGGCAGCCCCCUGGGCCAAUACUGACGCUCAUGCACGAAAGCGUGGGGGAGCAAACAGGAUUAGAUACCCUGGUAGUCCACGCCCUAAACGAUGUNAACUAGUUGUUGGGGAUUCAUUUCCUUAGUAACGUAGCUAACGCGUGAAGUUGACCGCCUGGGGAGUACGG
rnacentral:rRNA from 1 species